rnacentral:tRNA from 1 species
CUUUGGCAAAGUACAUAUAUGUAUUUACCCCAUAU